GCAGCAUUCGCCUAAUUGGUAUGGCACCAUCCUUCCAAGCUGGAAUAGUACCGGUUCGAACCCGGUAUGCUGCAC
rnacentral:tRNA from 1 species